GCAUAUCAAUAAGCGGAGGAAAAGAAACCAACAGGGAUUGCCCCAGUAGCGGCGAGUGAAGCGGCAAGAGCCCAGAUUUGAAAUCGUGUUUCGGCACGAGUUGUAGAGUGUAGGCGGGAGUCUCUGUGGAGCGCGGUGUCCAAGUCCCUUGGAACAGGGUGCCUGAGAGGGUGAGAGCCCCGUAGGGUGCUGCGCGAAGCUUUUGAGGCCCUGCUGACGAGCCGAGUUGUUUGGGAAUGCAGCUCCAAGCGGGUGGUAAAUUCCAUCUAAGGCUAAAUAUUGGCGAGAGACCGAUAGCGAACAAGUACUGUGAAGGAAAGAUGAAAAGCACUUUGAAAAGAGAGUGAAACAGCACGUGAAAUUGUUGAAAGGGAAGGGUAUUGGGCUCGACAUGGGGGGUGCGCACCGCUGUCUCUUGUAGGCGGCGCUCUGGGCGCCCUCUGGGCCAGCAUCGGUUCCUGCUGCGGGAGAAGGGGCUCCGGAAAGUGGCUCUUCGGAGUGUUAUAGCCGGGGCCAGAUGCCGCGUGUGGGGACCGAGGACUGCGGCUUCUGUCUCGGAUGCUGGCAUAACGGCGCAAUACCGCCCGUCUU
rnacentral:rRNA from 1 species